GACGAACGCUGGCGGCGUGCCUAAUACAUGCAAGUAGAACGCACAGUUUAUACCGUAGCUUGCUACACCAUACACUGUGAGUUGCGAACGGGUGAGUAACGCGUAGGUAACCUGCCUGGUAGCGGGGGAUAACUAUUGGAAACGAUAGCUAAUACCGCAUAAUAUUGAUUAUUGCAUGAUAAUUGAUUGAAAGAUGCUAUUGCAUCACUACCAGAUGGACCUGCGUUGUAUUAGCUAGUAGGUGAGGUAACGGCUCACCUAGGCGACGAUACAUAGCCGACCUGAGAGGGUGAUCGGCCACACUGGGACUGAGACACGGCCCAGACUCCUACGGGAGGCAGCAGUAGGGAAUCUUCGGCAAUGGACGAAAGUCUGACCGAGCAACGCCGCGUGAGUGAAGAAGGUUUUCGGAUCGUAAAGCUCUGUUGUAAGAGAAGAACGGGUGUGAGAGUGGAAAGUUCACACUGUGACGGUAUCUUACCAGAAAGGGACGGCUAGCUACGUG
rnacentral:rRNA from 1 species